AAAAAAAGAGAAAAAUCAGAUCAAAGCAAAAGGACAAGCUGCCAGAACUACGCAUGACCUGAUUCUCCUCUCUCGGGGUGAGAUACGUAGGCUUCCCUACUAAGGGCUCGGUCCAACCAAAUAAAUAAUUUAGAAUCACCCAGUCAAAAGAAACUGGGGCAUGAGUUAAUCUUCAUUGUUUGCGUCGAUUCCAAAAGUUGUAAGUCCUAACCCACUUCAAGUGUCGUUUGGGCCUCACGCCAUCCUUUCUUUCUAACCCUAUCCAAAAGUCAAGUUACAACCAAAGAAAAGACCUUCAGAUCAAUCUUUGGGGAUGUUAAGGCAAAGCAUACAAGGGAUAUGAUGAUGUAUUUGGGAACUACCUGUCUUCCUCAGCCCAAGGAAUCAAGAGAGAAAUAAAAAUGAGAGAGUCUUAUUGGUGAAAACCCUCACGGGCAUCGUGAGACGAUUGUGAGUUGGGAGAAAUGAGAAUAAGAGAGUCAUUAGUAAAAACCCUCACAGACACCAUAAGACAAGAGUAAGCUGAGGGAAAGACCCUUCAAAACGUCACUAGCCGAAUGAGGUCUGCAUGCAAUUGGCCUAAGGAAACAACUCAGUUUCAAGGCCAUUAACUCAACAAUAAUUGGUAGAAAGGUUAGAUGGAAAGAUCAGGCAGCUUAAUCCAAAAUCCAUGGCAUAAUCAUUAGAGUUGACUAUCAUUUUUAAAAAAUUUGUCAUUUCUUUGUGUCGAAUAGGGAUAAUCAUUGUCUUUUCUUUCUUCUUUUUAUUUUGUUUUCUUGAGUCAGUGGUCCAAAUAAAAGUCAUUGUCAUUUUUCUCUUAUUUUUUAGUCAAGUCCAUAUCAAAACAAGUGAGAAAAGAUUUCAAAACUGGCCACCAACUUCUUCAAUUGCACAAUGCAAGACAAAGUCAGCAUAUGAAAGAGACAUAAUUGUGAACUUAUGAAAAUACCAAGGUUUGAAGGAUUUAUCUGAGAAGCAUGACAAAGCAGAGAUACUGUGGUUAUUUUGGAGUCACUCUUAAUGAUCUGAGUUUGGGUCAAUGACACGACAAAGCAGGGGCAAAUGUCAGCAAUCUGAAACAAAAUGAAGGGAAUGAACACUAGAGCAAAUGCCUGGAAAGCCAAGUGUUGCAAACUACCACUAAAUUUUUAACUGACAAAUUUUCUUUGUUGAAAUAAGGGUGGAUUCCCUUCACUUAAUUCAGCUAAUAUUGGAAAUGGACAUCCGUGGGACUUUACUUUAUGCUCAGGACCCUCCUGAAAAAUGGGAUUUUACUUUCUGUUCAGGACCCUAUUUUACUUUCUGCACAGGACCUUCCUGAAAAAUAGGAUUUUACUUUCUGUUUAGGACCCCCCUGGAAAAUGGGACUUUACUUUAUGUUCAGGACCCUCCUGAAAAAUGGGAUUUUACUUUCUGCACAGGACCUUCCUGAAAAAUAGGAUUUUACUUUCUGUUUAGGACCCCCCUGGAAAAUGGGAUUUUACUUUAUGUUCAGGACCCUCCUGAAAAAUAGAAUUUUACUUUAUGUUCAGGACCCUCCUGAAAAAUGGGAUUUUACUUUCUGCACAGGACCUUCCUGAAAAAUAGGAUUUUACUUUCUGUUUAGGACCCCCCUGGAAAAUGGGACUUUACUUUAUGUUCAGGACCCUCCUGAAAAAUGGGAUUUUACUUUAUGUUCAGCACCCUCCUGAAAAAUGNNNNN
rnacentral:lncRNA from 1 species